AGCCCGUAUUCGCUUACUGACCCUGCGAAGCCCCUUCGGACCCCCGGCCCGCCGGGCGGGUGGAGGAAGGUGGCGCGCGGCAGCUUGGACCCGCCGCUGCGGCUUUGUAAAGUGUCAGCGGGAGCGAAAGCGAGAGUUUAAGGAAACAGGAGGCCCACUGAAUUUCCUACGGGGGCUUUAACAGGCUUUCGCUGGCUGGUUUGUUUUUGUUUUUCCAGCUCGCGGAAGUGCUUCAGCGUUAACCCUUUCCAGCCCUUUCACAAUGCUUUGCCCUCCUGAUUGAAGCUUUAUACCUCAAGUGGAAAUUUGAUGCCAAAAAUUGAAAGGGAGUCAAGUGGUAAUUCAGAGUAAGUCUGAAGAGGCUUUUAUGUAUUUUGUCUCUCUCACUGGUCCUGUUUCAUUUUACUCAUAUCUUAAUCUUAUUCUGAAGAGCUGUCCACAUAGAAAAUACUUUAGUAUGGGAGAAGAUGCAUGUAAGCAAGAAUCAAUCAUGCACGAUGAUUUAGUGCUCAGAACUAAGUAAGAAAGAACAAAAUAAAGUUAGGCUUUGGUACAUUGCCUUAAAUGUCAGCCAGUAAUUAUUUGUAAAAAAAAAAUGAUUUUUCCUUUACAUUAUAGCAAGUAACAACUAAAAUGUAUGUAGGAUGGUAUGUUCAGAGUGAAAUGGAAGGUUCAUUACUCAUAUAAAAUCCUGGCUAAUUAAAAGUACUAUACUUUGUGGCCUAAAUGAUCUAAGUUUGCCAUAUAUGUUUCACCACAGAAUAAUCUAUUUCACUUUCAUGGAGAGAAAUUAAGAUGUCUCUGUGGAAAAAGUUUCAUCUUCCAUCUGACUAAGGAGAAGAGUUAUAAUGAGUGAGCUUUGUUUCUAUUUACUAUAGUUGUAAGAACUGAAUCGCUGGGGGCUUUUUGUUUGUUUUUUACUCACUGGCUUAAUUUUAGCUAACCUCUCAAGGAACAAACGAAUCAGGAAUCACAAAGGAGCAGCACUUGAGUUCCUUGUCCAUGACAAAGGUCUGGAAUUCACUGAACACCCUCCUUUACUAUCUUAAGAUUGUAUAUCAGAAUCAUUUUCACCAACAGAGAACUUUGGGCUGACAUUAGCACCUGAGCUAAAGUCUGCACAGAUUUCAAACCUGUUCGCAACCCCUUAUCUACACCAACCUUCAAAGGCAUUUCUACCCAUUCCAAGUGCAAUACUACCUGCAUAAAGGUAAUUACAAUUACCCACCUCAUCCCACCUCCAACUCUAUCAUCUCUCCCAAAUUGAAACUUGGCUAACAGGAUACUCAAGAAACCAUCAUGCUCAUUUUGAAAAAACUGAGAUGUAAUACAUGCUGUGGAGUACUUAGUAUUUACUGUAAUCUACUAUUAUUUUAGGAAAUAGUUUUUGUCCAUUUUAAUAGAAUUUGUUAAAACUUUCUAUAAUUGCUGUCAAGUAAAGGGAAAUUGCUAGUAGUGGACUGCUUUUAUUCAGUCCUAAUCUAAUAUUAUGACCUUUUCCUCUAGGUCUAAGGCAUUUCCUCUUCCUCAUUUAAUAGGGCUAUUUUUUUUUACCUCUGGUACUCAAUUACAAGACUCAUUCCUUCAUCUUGGCUGACUUCUGCUUUCAGAAUCAACCAAGAUUUCAUUAUACUAUUGAUGGAUAUUUCAGCCUUUUGCUCUUUCAUAAUCUUAAGUAAAAAUUUUAUGAAUAGAGUGUUUUGAAUGAAAUAAGCAUUAAAAAAAUUACAUAACAGCUAAUAUCACUCUGUUUACAGGGACAUUUAGCAUGCAAGAAUACUUAAUGCCUUUUAUCCUCAUAUCAAUAGUACAUUUACUAUUUAGAUGAAAUUAAAAUAUAAUUAUAUUUGCCUCUUUCCUAAUGAAAUAACAUAUUGCAUUAAAAUAGCAUACAUGUUUAUACUGUCUUCUUUCUGAAUCUUAAUAAGCUAAAGUUUUUUUGACCGGUAAAUAGCAAAGUACAAAAAAUGUGCAGCUCAAAAUAGUAAAAACAAAUUCUUAACAUGGAACUGUACACUCCUGUAUGAUCAGGCCGCUCAGUAUGGCUCUUCUCUUGCUCUUUGUACAUCCCCGCUCAACCAGUCCCUGCUUCACCUACUCAGGUGAACAGUACUUGCCCCCCUGCCGCAGCUAGUGAUUGUUCUAAUCCUUUGGCUCCACCUGCUAUUUUAUUAAAGGGAAACAUCUGCCCUCAUGAUGGUUGUUAACCUGAGGGGCUGUGAGGGACACGCCCCAGCUGGUUUCCCUGGUAACUGAUGAGCCAAUCGGACAUCAAUUCCCCCUAUAAAAGGAAGCCUCCUUCUUCCCCGAGCAGUAAAGAUGGCUGCUGUGGCGUGUCUGCUGUGCGUGUGGGGCAUUGCACCAGGACCCUCUAUUUCAGACAGGUAAGAUCCCCUAUCCAAUAUUACUGAUCUCUGUCACUGUCUCAAGGCUCUUUCUUCAGUGUCCAGGCUGUGCAACUACAAUACAAGGCUUGCAGGCCUGCAGAGUGCAGCACAACAGCUGGUGAGCAACUCAGGGCACCAGGGAAACUCCCAUGAGCACUGAGAUGUUGGGAAAUAAGAACAGGGAAUGGACACUUGUGGAGUUAGUCCUGGGGUGGCUGUCCACUAGCAUGUGGGGCCCCAAAGUUGUGAGAGGUAAUUCCGAGGUGGCCAUCCACUAGUGUGGGCGUGUGUGGCAGCUGUCUACCAUAAGAGAUAUCUUUCUCUUCCAUUUAUGUUGAUAAUAGCCUGUUAACCUCAGAGUCUCUUUCAAGUUUAAGAGCAGCAGCCCCGUGCUCGUGGUUCAUCUUGGCUGCACAGGGAUGGCUGGUGAAUACAGACAACACAAGCACCUGGAUUAUCUACAAAAUACAGGCAUACCCCUGACCCACCGCCCCUAAACAAUUACAGACACAGGUUUUAGGGAUAAUAAUUCAGGAACAGACUUGUAAAUUAGACAUGGCCAGUUACCCAGGUUUGGCUGGGGCCUGUGACAAUGGCAAAAUGAUAAGACUAACCUAUUUUGGUCAUAGCUAUGGCCACGAUCAGAGCAAUGAUACAGUGUGAGCGAAGAGCUAUAUGCAGUCUACAGUGCAUUACAACAGGUGGAAAACAUUAUAAAAGGCCUACGUAAGUCAUCGAGCAAUGCAAAAACCCACUAUUCAGGGUCUAGGAGAGCUGUGCAUGACAUACAGGACUCCCAUCGACAUUGAUAGUGACCAAGGAACCCACUGUACCCACCGAAAAGUUCAGGAAUGGGCCUCUAAAAAUGACAUAUGCUGGCAUUUCCACCUGCCCUACAACUCCACUGCUGCUGGGCUAACUGAAAGGAUGAAAGGACUAAACAAUUGAGAUGUGAAAUCUGUAACCAAACAUCCCAGGAGCAAUCAUCCCAGUGCCUGUGCCACGUUAGUCCAGAAACAACUAGUCAACACCAUCCGAGUUCAACUGGUGACCACCAAAGGACCGCUGCCAAUUACAGGUCAGGACAAUGACUCACUUUUGCCCUUGCCACAGAAUCUACCCCCCGAGAAACACAUUAUAAAAUGGCCCUGGGACUGGCAAGUAAGUCCUCAGUAGUUUGGAUUUGCCGCCCUGUGUGGGGAAUAGAAUUAGGGACUUAUAGAUCUCACCUGUCUUCUACCCGGCCCCGCCUAAGACUACUAAGGUAAUUGAUCCGGGCCCCAUAAUGCAGAAAAGCACCAUUAUUUUAACCUGUGGUCUGUUACUCCGCCUCUCCAGUAUUUGACAUCAGCUGUGCAAACUGGGUGUGGACAGGUGGUGUGGCACUGUAGGCCACGACAAAAACCACAGGUAGGUACGGUAUUAUCUCAGAAUGCUGUUACUGCUUGUAUUUUGCUUAAUGGUCAUGAUCCCUGUAUUGUGCCUGUUAAAUACCUUACACUUCAUCUCUCAUGUAAGUGGAGGGAAUCUGUUCGUGGGCUAGGUAACAACGAUGGCCUCACUGCCAGAUGAAUUUGAUUGCAGGGUCUAUGGCAACAUGCCGUUGUCGUCCUCCUGUGGACGUCCAUGAAAAAUUGAGCCAGUAAGUGACUGGCUCCAAAGUUUGCCCACCGCUUAGACUCUGUCUGUGUUGUCUCUGUGGUAUUUGGUUGCAGUGCACCUCUACACACCUGACCUAGGUAUACUGUGGAAGGGGGUGGACCAAGACGGUAAAGGUGGUGUGGGGUAUGUAGGGUGGAGUGCAUGCUCAAGCCACUCAAGAUGGCUGUUCUCUUGCUUUUCCUCCAUCCCCCUCGUCGACCAUCCCUGCUUCACCUACACUCUACUUACACGAACUUGCUUGCCCUCUCCCCCAGCUAGUGAUUGUUCUAAUCCUUAGGCCAGAACGGCUCCGCCUGCUCGUUUAUUAAAGAGAAACAUCUGCCCUUGUGAUGCUCAUUAACCUGAGGGGCCGUAAAGGACAUGCCCAGGCUGCUGGUUUCCCUGGUAACUGAUGAACAAACCUGACGUCAAUUCCCCCUAUAAAUGGUAGCCUCCUCCUUCCCUGAAUAGUGAAGAUGGCUGCCCUUUCCUGUCUGCUGUACACGGUGGGGAAUUGCUCCAGGACCCUUUGUUUCAGACGUGCAAGAUCCCCUAUCCAAUAUCGUUCUCUGUUGCCAUUUUCAGGCUCUUUCUUCAGUCUCGGGGCUGGGCAACUACAAGGUGUACAGGCCUGCAGGGUGCAGCCUAGCAACACCUGAAAAGGAGCCUAUGUUCCAGCGACAGACAACAAACGAAAUUCAAAACUGCUGGAAGGAGCAUGCUGUGGCACAAAAGUUCUGAAAUGGCAAGAACUUGAUAUGCAUGAAGCUUUUGUUGCUGGAAAAGGUAAGCAAAGGGUGAGAUGGUACAUGCAGGUGCUCAUGCAGGCCACUGUUAAGAAGCUGAGUCUUUAUGUACAUAGGAAGCCACUGAAAACUCUUGUGUAGGAAGCCGAUGUGGCUUUAUUGAAGAAAAAGCAAAAAAACAAAGGCAAAACCAAAGCAAACCACACUGGCACACUGGUUGCUGUAAAGAGAAUGGGUGAUGAAAACUGGAAGAAAAGAGACCUGAUAGGGAGUUCACUGCAAUAAUACAUCUACCCAGGAGAUGAUGAUGGCUUAUAUUAAAGGGGUAGCAGAGGAAAGGGAGAGAAGGUGAUAGGUUCAAGAUGUACUUUGGAAACAAAACUAAGAAGACUGGCUGAUAGAUUAGAUGUGGGGAGGAAUCAAGAAUGACCCUAGGAUUUUUAUCUGAAUCACUAGGUAGACAAUAGUUCUGUUUACUUAGAUGGCAAGAACGGAAGAAGAAAUAGUGUGGAAGAUCCCUCUACCUGCCACACAGUUCCACUUCUCUCCUCCUUCUUUGGUAACAACAUUCAGAGUUUAUAUUAAAGAUGGAAAUGGGUCCAGCUAAAACUAUUUUUGCCUUCUUUUCCUUGCAGCUAGGUGUGUGCCCAUUGGCUGGGUUCUGGCCAACAAAAUAUAAUUGGAAAUAACAUGUGAGAUUUCUGGAAAGUUGAUUUCAAGCUAAGUGAUGUUCCCUUUUCACUCUUUUAUCUUUCCCAUCUUCCUCCUGAAACCUGAACAUGAUGGCGGUGUCCCAAGACCACUAUGGAUACUGAAAUGAUUUGAAAGAUGGGGGCACCUGCCAAGACAGUGUGAUGACCAAGGAGGCUUCAUAACAGCUUUGAAUGAAGACCUUCAGCCCUCUCAUAUGAAAAAGAGAAAAAAAUUAUAUUUUAAAGUCAUUAUAUUGAUAGUUUCUUUUAUUUGCAGCUAAAUUCAAUCUCCACUGAUACCAACUGGCUUGAGGAGAGGGGUGAAAAAUGAAGAACUAUUUCUGAAACACUAAGUUGAGGUGUCUAUUAGACAUCCAAAUGGACAUGUCAAAUAAACAACUGAAUAUAGAAAUCUUGUCCUAAAAUGAGAGACCAGCACUGGAGAUAUACAUCUGGGAGCUACUGUUGAGUUAAAGCUAUGGGACUGAUAAAGGUUAUAUAGAUAGAAAAGGGCCCAGUCCUGAACCCUAGGACACCCAGAUUUAGGUAUCUGUACAAGAGAAGGAGCUAGAGAAUAAGGCUGAGAAAAGGAGUCCAGUGAGGUAGUAAGAAACUUCAAAGACUGUGGUUUCAUAGAUGCAAAGGAAGGAAAAUAUACUAAGAUAUAGGGAGUUGUCAAUUGUACUGAAUGCAUUCAGUAGAGAAUUGAAUUCAAUGUAGAAAGAGUACAUGGGAGGGCUUUAGUUUCCUGCAACGCGGAAAAAUACAUAUCCUGGAAAGCCUCCCAACAGAAAACUCAGAAAUACUGGACAAAGUACAACAAACACCGUCUUAAAUAGGUAGCUAAGCUACAAGAAACUAAGGAGAAUCCUAAAGGGUAGAUAAUGAAGAGGUGUUAAAGAGGGACAAGCUGAAACUAAAACUGUUUGGUUGCCCUUGGGUAAUUUGCCAAUCACCAUUUAAAUUUUUCUUAAAAACUGACUAGAUACAAAAAUAUUAAGUAUUUGUAAUAUAUGAAAAUAAUCAUAACGAAAUGAACACUUACAAAUGCCUUUCAAAUCACCUCUGAGCCCCUUAUACUAGCCACUAGCCUUUCCCCUCCUUGCUAAGAGUUAACCCCUUUCCCAUGUGUUAUUACUACCUUCACUUAAUAGCUUCAUUAAAGCUGUGGCCCCCCAAAAGUUACUAUUUAUAAUGUGUUCAUAGCAAGUUUUACUAUGUUUAAAUGAAUUCAGUCUUUAUGUUAUUCUGCAACUUCAUUUUUUUGGCUUAAUUGUAUUUUUCUGAGGUUUAUCAAUGCUGUUACAUGAAGCCACAAUUUAGUAACUGAUGAUAAAAGUAACACUGCAGUGCUGUGGGAAGAAGAUGGUUUUGUCAAUAAAUGUACAGGCCAAUUGGAAAGUACAAAUGAAACUUAGCUCCUACCUAACCCAGCUCACAAAAAAUAGAAUGGUGGGUUUGAGAACUAAAUGUAAAAGUUAAAACAAUCAAGGAUCUAGAAGGUAACAUCAAAAAUCUUCAUGACAUCAGAGUACAAAUAUAUUUCUUAAAUUAGAGGCAAAACUUACUAGCCAUAAAAAAGAAAGAGGACCACAUUAAAACUAGAGAUUUUUGUUCAUCAAAAGAUUACUAAGAGCAUAAGAGAGUGGAGAAAGUAUAUGCAACAGGUAUAUCCAACAAUGAGUUUGUAAUGAAGAAUAUUCAAAUAAUUUUUACAAACUGACAAGUUUGACAACCUAACAGAAAAAUUAGCAAGAAAUCUGAUUAAGAAUUUCACAAGAGUUUAACUAAAUGACCAAAAAUUAUAAGAAAAGGUCUUGACGUGAUUAAACAGGAAGAAUAUGCAAGUAAAAACCACAUGAGGUACACAAUAGAAUGACUGCAAUUUAAAAAUGACAAUUCCAAAUGUUGGAAAAGAUCUGGAACAAAAGAAUCUGUCACGCUGGUGGAAUAAUAAAUUGAUACAGAAACUUUGGAAAAUUCAUUGGCAGUUUGUAUUAAAGGUAAAGAGUGGAUACUCUUCAUUAUGACAAGGUUGAGAAGGAAGGAAAUCAUCUGAACCUUCAAUUAUACUUUGAAGCAGACUCAGACUGCAACAGUACUCUAUAAACAUUCAAACAUCCUAAAGAGGCUAUUAAUAAAUAAUUGCCUGAGAUUUAACAGCAAUAACAACAACAACAAAAUCCCAAAUGCUCCAUAGCUACAGACCACUCUUCCAGCUCCAGGUAGCCACCUCCACGAGUAUGCUCCUAUUCAGAGGAACCAGCUUUGUAAAGGAUUUAGCUCAGUGCAACCAUUAAACUCACUGAAAAACAGCUCAAAGCACAUGUCCUAUUGAUGGGUAUCUAUAUUGCCAUUUAUCAUUGUCAGUAUUAUAAUGGAACACACAUCUCGAGAGGCAACUAAGCCUCACAGUUCAGAACACAAGUUCUAGAGCCAGACUGAGUAUGAAUUCUGCCUCCACCAUUUAUAAGCUAUGACUUUGGGCCAGCUGUUCAACCACUCUGGCCUGCAAAACCAUUAACUGUGAAGAGGAAAUAAUGUAUCUACCUCAGAGAUCUAUAGGGAUUGUGAUGGUUUAUGUGUCAACUUGAUUUGCCACAGGGUGCCAAGAUUAAACAUUAUUUCUGGGUAUGCUGUGAGGAUAUCUCGGGAUGAGGUUAGCAUUUGGAUUGGCAGACUCAGUAAAGUAGAUGGUCCUCCCCAACAGGGGUGGGCAUCAUCCAACCCACUGAGGGCCUGAAUAGAACAAAAGGAGGAGGAUGGGGGAAUUCAUCUUCCACUGCCUCGCUACUCUAGCUGGGACAUCACAUUUCUUCUGGCCUUGAACUGGGAUUUAUACCAUCAGUGGCCCUGUUUCUCAGGUCUUCACACUGGGUCUGGGUCUCUAGCUUGCAGACAGCAAUACAUGGGACUUCUUAGCGAUCAUAAUUGCAUGAUCAAAUUCCUCAUAAUAUGAAACAAAACCAAUAGGAGAUAUAUACCUGGAGGACCCUAAUACAGGCGUUAAUGAGUUAAUACAUGUUAUCUAGCACCUAGAAUGUCCUCAAUAAGCGUUAAUUACCAUCGUUAUUUUCAUUACCAUUACUGUGUAACCCAAAGAGUAGGAACAGCUCAAAGACUUACGAACUUUGUUCUAAGAAAGAAGGACAGUCAGUCAUAAUUAAAUAGAUUCAAGAAAUCAAAACACAUCCUGGAAACCAGGGCUGCUGUGGGGGCUGAUUGCGGAAGAAAGAAUCAGUAUCCAGAAAGGUCUUCCCCAUGAUUUCCUGAUCUUUAAAGGAGAUAUUCUACUAGCAGUAAGGCCAUCCCAACUCUUUCUUGUGCACAGUGGGAAAAGAUAUAGGAAACCUCAGUGAGACGUCUCUAACCACUAUCCACAUAAAAGGAGAGAAAAACACUGUGAGGCUGAGAGGUAACACCUUGAGGCCAGGUGGUGUGAGAGGUAUGAUGAUGAGUGAGCAAUGGGACAGAGGACCCAGGUGAGGCCAGUGGAGGACAACCUGGCCACAUAGUCUUGCUUCCCACUAACAACUUUAAGGAAUUUUAACAAUAUUUUGUCAAACUUACGCCAUCUCCUCUGUGAGCAACUCCCCACCCCCUACCCCUAGGUGAUGGCAGAUGCCUCAAGCCUUUCAUGGGUAGCUAAGGGACGUAAGGCCAACCUCACUAACUGCUUGAGUUUCUGACUCUACUAUGCAACUUCUGCCAAAGAUUUCAGGGUAAGGACUCAUGGUAGGGAAAAAUACCGCCUCAAGAGGGAAACUGCAAGGUGUGCAGACUUAAUGAAGUUUGACUUUGACUAAACGUAGUGAAAACAGGGAAUUGGGGUGAUUUGUUUUCAAGCGCUUAGGACACAAUACUCUCCUUGGUUAUAUGUUACCAAAAGGACUCACAACCAAUGGAAGGUGAAGGGCGGAAGUCCUGGUUCUCACCCAGCAUCUGAUAAAGGUCUCCCCUUUGGGCUCAUAAUGACAGAACAUCUCGUGAAUAUUUAAAAGGAAACACCUUUUUGGAUACAGAUUCAAAUAAAUGACCUCAUUGUACAACAAUGAACUCUUCUUUGCCAGGACCCCCUCCUCCUCCUCCCUGCUUCCCAUAUACUUUCAGGUUCUUUUGUAGGCACUGAUCCAUGUCAGUUUUGAAUAUAUAUAUAUGUGUAUAUACAUAUAUAUAUAUAUGUAUGUAUAUACACACAUAUACAUACACACACACAGACACACACAUAUAUCCAGCUUUUUCCUGAGUGGGGUUGAGAGGGUAGGCAUGGGGUAAAAAUAAUGCACCUUUAUCUUUCUUUACAAAUUGUAAAUUAACUCAAUUUUCUAAGCUUCCCCCCCAACCCCACCCCUUUUCUGUCUGUAUCAACACAGAACUUGUUCAGCCAGAGGAGUCUGUUGUGGUGAGACUGUCAAAUAUGUGAACAGACUGUUGUCAAACAGCCUUGAAGAAAACCAAGUAUUUGUUCACCAUAUGAAAGCACAUUCACACAAACAUCUCUCUACCAAAUCCCUGAGCAAAUAUUCUUAAAAUCUGUAGUGGGAUGGAUGUUCUACAUCAAGUUUACAACAAAACAACAACAAAAAACUCAAAAUGUAUUAUACACGAGGCACCAUGCUUAGCAUUGAUGUGGACACAAAGGUAUGCAAAACCUGUACUGUCUAGGUAUGCAGUAAAGCUAUGAACUUGAGCCAUUUGCUUAAUGCCUCCUGGUGGGCUUCAGUUUCUACUUUCGUACAACAGGACCAAAUUGUCACACCUCUGUGGUUGUAUCUACCCUUAAAAUUGGCCUAACUAGAAUGGUCAAACAUAUACACAGGAAAUUUAGCCAAUAAUGUAAAAAUACAAAGAAUGUUAAGUGUGUGACGAGUGUUAUUGCUCUUAUACGAGUUCAGAGGAAAGAGUUCACUGCAGGCUGAGUGUUGCAGGGAAGGCUUCCAGGAGGAGGGAGGACCUCACCUGGAUACUGAAGACAGAGUAGGCACUGGACGGCCAUGAAGACAGGAUAGGGAGUUCUAUCAGUAACUUGGCAGAGCAUUUGUGGGUGGUAAAGACUGGAUGUGAUAACAUGAAAAGGAAGUUUUAUUGAGAGUUAGCACAAGGUAGGUUUGGGGAAAUGUAUUGCAGUUUGACUAUGAUUCAUCCAUUCUCUACUUUUCUUUUGUAUGAAAAAUCUCAAACUAAGAAAUAUGCAGUGCUCUGUGGGAUAAAAUCAUUCUGGCAAUGCUAUUGAUUGUUUAUUUUUGUAAUUUUCUAAUUGUAGUAUGUAUUUAAUAGAAUAUAAAACUGAAAAAUCA